AGUGAACGCUGGCGGCGUGGAUUAGGCAUGCAAGUCGAGCGAUCUCGCAAGAGAUAGCGGCAAACGGGUGAGGAACACGUAAGUAAUCUUCCCUUAAACCAAACAUAGCCCUAUGAAAGUAGGGGUAAUAUUUGAUAACAUCAUGAAGCCGCAUGGUUUUAUGAUUAAAGACGGGGACCGCAAGGCCUGCCGUUUAGGGAUGAGCUUGCGUCUUAUCAGCUAGNGGUAGGGUAACGGCCUACCAAGGCUAAGACAAGUAGCUGGUCUGAGAGGAUGGUCAGCCACACUGGGACUGAGACACUGCCCAGACUCCUACGGGAGGCUGCAGUCGAGAAUC
rnacentral:rRNA from 1 species